rnacentral:lncRNA from 1 species
AAAUUAGAAAAUAUAAUCAAACACCAAUCAAAUUCAAUUAAAAUUUCAAAGAAAUUAUACAAGAAAUACAAAGAAUUUCUAGAAAUCCUUUAAAGAAAUCAUAAAAGAAUAAUAUAGAAAUCCAAAAAAUAUAUACUAAAAUAAAAAUAUUAAUAAAAUAUUAAAUAAAAACCUUAAUUAAAUCUCAGUCUAAAUCUAGUGAAAUUAUAAUCAAACCUUAGUCAAACCUUGGUCAAAUCCUUAUCAAAUCUUAGUCAAUCUCUAAAUAAGCCCUAACCAAACUCUAAACAAAUUAUCAAAUCCUAAUCAAAUUCUAAUCAAAUCUUUAUCAAAUCCUAAAAAAAUCCUAACCAAAUUUUAAUCAAAUCUUAAAUAAAUCUUAGUCAAAUCUUAAUCAAAUCUUAAUCAAAUCAUAAAUAAAUCCUAAUCAAAUCCUAAUCAAAUCUUAGUCAAAUCUUAAAUAAAUCUUAAAUAAGUCUUAACUAAAUCCUAGACAAAUCUUAGUCAAAAUCUAGUCAAAUCUUAAUCAAAUCUUAAUCAAAUCCGAGUCAAAUCCUAAAAAAAUCCUAAAUAAGUUCUAAUCAAACCCUAAACAAAUUCUAGUCAAACUCUAAUCAAAUCUUAAUCAAAUUAUAAUCAAAUCCUAAUCAAAUCCUAAUAAAAUCUUAAAUAAAUCCUAGUAAAAUCCUAAAUAAAUCUUAAAUAAUUCUUAACCAAAUUUUAAACAAAUCUUAAUUAAAUCCUAGACAAAUCCUAAAUAAAUCCUAGUCAAAUACUAGACAAAUUUUAACCAAAUUCUAAUCUAAAUCAAAUCCUAAUCCUAAUCAAACCUUAAAUCAAAUCCAAAAUCCUAAUCCUAAUCCUAACCAAACCUUAAAUCAAUCCAAAAUCCUAAUCCUAAUCUUAAAUCAAACCCUAAUCAAUUCCAAGUAAUUCCUACAACAGAUUUAAACCUCAAUUACUAAUAAAUAAAUUAUUUAUUUUAAUUCAAAUUUUUUACACUUCUUAACAAUUAAGUUAACAAAAAAUAUAAAAAAGAAUUAAAAAAGAUCAAAAUUACAAAAUAGAUGAUAACUUCAAAAAUGUCCUCAUGUAUUAGCUCGCCUCUUUCUCUAAUCUUGAUGCCAAUUUUCAAUAGCCAAUUACUCUUGAUUAAACCAUUACUUUGCUUCCAAACUUUAUAUACUUAUUAAAAAUUAAGCUGACUAUUUCUAUAAAAAAAAAUUACUUCAAUUUAACUAGUGAAUUGACAGAUAUCUAAAAAAACCUCACUGGUCUUCAAAAUCCUAAAUUUUGAGACAAUAACCUACAAAAACCUUCAAGCCAUUUAAUUUAAUUUUUUGAUCAAAUCCAAAUUUAUAGCACACAUCAAGCACAACUAUACCUACAAAUCUAAAAAAUUUCACUUGUAGAUAUAUUUCCAAACUUACAAAAUUCUCCAAAAAAUAUCAUCCAUUUUAUUUCAAAAAUUUAGAAUCAUCCAAAACAAACCCU